UGCUGCUUUGUGGAUCUACUUUGUUUAUGUCAAGAUCACGUGGGGACUUUUAAUGGUGGAAGGCAUAUCUUGUCUGCUUUGUGGAUCCACUGUAAAACUUACCCUCAAGAUAAGGUUUUCUAUUUUUUUCCCCUGCCUUUCUCUGUCUGUCUCAUUCAAUUCACACUUU